CAUUUCCCGCAAAAUUCGAAGAAGAGAGCCGCCACCACCACGUGACCAAUUUCUUUUCCUCGAGAAGGAGAGGAGGGAGGCCUUGCCAAUAAGGAAAAUGGCACGGAGGCGUCAUCGUGGCCCGACUGCUCCGCUCCACACAUGCAUCGGAUACAAAGGGAGCCCGGAAUAGAACCGUGUUAUGUGCUCGCUACGAGCGAGGAGGAAGCUGUCCUGCGGCCAGCUUGGAAAGAUAAGAAAAAUGGGCGGCCAGCCCCUGCUCGUAACCGCAGAAGUUGUAAUUAUACAGUGAUAUUACUACCGAGGAAUAAGGCCCAUAAGCGUGUGUACACGCGGUGGAAGAGUCGUUCUCGACCGUCAUUUCACCCCUCUCCUCCCGAAUCUGGAUGAAGAUACGUGGACAAGAGAUAACACGGAGAAGGAGGAAUUUAUCGUUGGGGUCCUCGGUUGGAGCCGGUUAAAGGAUGGAACGAAAGAAUUCCCCGAUGAACGAUGCAAUUAAAUCGUAAUUGGAUGAAAGUCCUUUUGUAGCGGCCAUCAUCAUCGGUCUCUCUUGAUAUCCUCCACCUCUUCGUCUGGCUCUUCGCGAUUCUGAGAAAAAUUAUCCUUAACACCCUCCCGAUGAAUCGAAAUUUUAUUCCCGCACAUCCUGGAAAAUUUAAUCGAUAGUGAAUGGAUUUCGGAUUAAAACAAACUAGGUGUAUACCGAAAUUUGUAUAACAAAUUUCUGACGGAAAAUUUGUUAAAACCCAAUAAAGCGAAUCGAGGAGGAGGAGAAAGGAAAGAUACGAUGUGCAAAAAUUUCCAAGUUUUUUUUCCUCCUUUCACGAAGAAAAGGACGAAGGCCGCGAGGGCUGGAAACGAAGAAGAAGGUGGAUGCUCGCAAAGGGAAAAGACGAUGGGACGUCGUAGGAGGGUGGAGGAAGAAAAGGAGGGAAAGUUUCGACGGUGUAUCUCGCCACGUCGUCGAGCUACUCUUCGGGUGAAUGGAGGCUUGGAACGAGUACGAGACUCGACACGUCAGCCGCGCCUUCACUUAACGGAAUGGAAUUUGUCAACGGUUCCAUGGGACGUCGAAUAAAAUUCAAAUGGGCAGGGGUGGGUCACUGAAUCGACCUACCUAAUCUUUCUCUAUUCAACUUGGAAUGUUUUACGUUCAGUCUCGUUUUUCGUUGAUUUCGAUCGACUCGUCGUUGCGAAGAAAGAAGAAAGCUUGGUAUUCGAUGUUUAGAGUUAUUGUUUACAACGGUGUCUUGGAUGAAAAAUUAAUUUUAAUCAAGCAGGAAGAAUAUAUUUGAAAUUGGUCGAAAUAGAGAAUGUGAUGUUGAUUCCAUUGUUGAAUUCGUUGUGUAUCUAAUCAAGUUUUACAAGCAAUUAAUUUUUUUUAAGGUAAUAUAAAGUAUUGUCUUAUGAUCGAUUUAUAAUUUUCCAUAAUUUUCAACGGAGAACUAACAUUUUACGAUAUUAACGUAAAAAAAAAGGAUAGAUAAAAUUGCUUGUAUUGUUUCAUCUUACUUUAAUUCCGAGAGAACUAAUUGGAUUAUGCGCAAAAUGUUUCAGAUUUUCGUGACGAGAACGUGCCAUCCGCCGAUAAUUCAACGGUUAACAACGGUUGAUUAUGAAAGAGCGUUUCUCAUCAAGGAAGGAGGAAACGUUAAUAUGGAAAUCUUACAAAUUUUCACGAAGUUUCCUUUUAAGCUGAAAAAUCAUUUUUCAAGUGAAUAUUAUUUUUUAUAAUUAAAUAGCCGUCUACGGGCCAGAUUAAAGGCUUUCUUCUUUGUGAGAUAAUCACUUUGAAAAGGUACGCGAAGCUUUACCAGUUAUCUAGAGGCUUCUACCGUCGGUUUUUCCGGGAACAGAAAUUUUAAUUAGUAGGUAGACGUCUUUAUAUCCAAGCAAUCGCCCGAACUAUUAAUUUUCCUCUUUUAAACGUUUCAUCUUUCGUUUUCGACAAACAAACCGGUCUUUCCACUCCUCCCUCUUUCAUUUCAUCCCAUUAAGUCAGUUCGAUAUAAUUCAAAUAACAAUCCAGUUCUUUCACACACACACACACACACACACGUAUUUAACAUUUUUAUAAACGAAUCGAGAAAAAUACAUAAAGUAUUCUUCGAUAUGAUUAAACUUUUCCUGUUAGAACAAUCGUCAAAAUUUAUUAAAGAUUCUGGAAUAAUUUAUUAAUUCCAAAUCUAAUAUCUCUCUCGAUAUCCCUCACGCUCAAAAUUUGGAUAGCCUCGAGAAAACUGAAAGAUAUAUAAGAUGAUGGUACGCAUCAUCAUCUCGUCGACCAUUAAUGCGAUUAAUCUCUGUUCAAAGCAAAAUGAAAAAUAGCGAGAGAGGAUGCACAGUAUCGAUACAACGAUAUUUUCGGAUCAUUUUUCGGCUUUCUUCGCCUCUCCUGUUCAUCGCCUUUCUCGUAACGUAACUAAACCACCCUUUCCCUUUCUCUGUGGGAAAGAUCGAUCCGAAUAUUCCAUAGAGUCCUUAUAUCCGCAGACGGUAAACUACUUUCGACUCUUUUUACCCCGUUCUGAAAGAAGAAGAAGAAGAAGGAGAAGGGGGGUUGAGAGGGGGUGGUCGGGAGCGGGUCCAGGAAGCUGCAUUCAAACCAAGGGAUAUAUAUCCCCGGCUCUUUGGCAUCGAGAAAACUAACGAGAGAGCAUUCCAAGACUUGGCUUAAGGAAGUUUAUUUUCUUAAUACUGAGGGCCGUGCAUCAGUCUUCCUGUUAGAGUCGCGAAUCGCUAUUCAGAAGCUUCAUUAGGAGAAGCACGCAUUCAGAUUGCUUGAACUCGCGUGACCUCCGACCAUUCCAAAGGUUUAAGAGUAUCGGUGUCUUUUUAGAAUUUCCUCUUCCUCUAUUUCCCUUUUUUUCCGUCUUCUUUUUUUUUCUCUUUCGUUUCCCUCUUCUCCUCUUCUUCCAUCCCUCGUUCCUCUUUCGUUCUCCGCGACCACUUUUUAAUUUUAUCAUAAAGGAAAGAUGAAAGACGCGUUGUAAAAUUUGCUCUGUCUGAGAAAUUAGUUUCCAUAAUUAGUUUCCUAAGAAAUCAUUAUGAACGGUAUCAAAAUCCUCUUUCUCGAAUCGAGUAGCCUUCGAAAAGUUUCGGAAAAAAAGAGUAGAUCCAAUUUUUUUUUCUUAUCCGUUUUAUUGUCUUACAAUUAAAUAAUUAAUCGUAAUUCGUCAAUAACAAGCAAAUUUUCAACUCAACGACCUUACACCGUUAUAAGAAAGAACAUUUCUUCGAAGUUAUCUUUGCCCUCGCAAAGACGAGGAAGAAUUUCAUCCAUUUCCGUUUAAAAGUCAAACGAAACACGAAAUAUAUAUAUAUAUAUACGACCAUUAUUAUCCACUGUUAUGAAAAACGCGGAAAACACUUGAUCAAACACAAAGCGAUCGGAAUUUUUCCACGAAACGAAAGGAAGGAGGAUAGGGAAGGCGAAGUGGCGGUCAAAGCGACAUCCGCCCCAUUUAACGCUCACCUUAUUGACCUUAUGCUUAAUAUUAACGAGGCGACGCGGUCAGCCGGCCGGGCCGGCACAACACACGUGCACCUACGUGUGCACGAGGUAUACAGAGAAACGUAACUAGCCUGAAGGCCGUUAACCUCCUCAUUUGCACCGCUUUGAUCCAAUCCUAUUUUCCACCCUAUACUCCCCCCCGCCGAUCCGCCCGAUCGAUCCUACAAAUUCCUCCUCCCCCUUUCCGCGGAUUUCGCGCUAACUAAUGUCCCCUCCCUCCCUCCCUGUCCGCCCCUCCUAUACCCUCGCGCGAUAUAAAACGGAUCGGGUGAACAGGAUUGAUUUGCAUAAAUAAUUGCGCACAUAUCAUCAAGACACGAUCGAAACUGGCUAAUUAGUAGACCGUUCCGCGGGAACAUGGCCGCGUCAAGGUGAUUACCGAGGAUACGUAUGCGAGAGUCGAUAGAGGAUCGAGGCUUCCUCCCUCCAUCCGUGAUGAAAUGAAAUUAUGGGACAGGACAUAGAAAGAGGGAGGGAGAGAGAAAGAGAGAGAGUUCAAUGCGGCGGAGGUCAUAUGAUAUCAUCCCUCUCACUCUGCCAGAUCCAAAGUUUUCCCCGCUUUAUUAAUUAUGGAAAAUCGAGGGUGACGUAAUUUCAAUCUCGCGCGCGAUAUAUAGCAAAUAAUGGGAGAUAAUAGGUUGGAAUAAUAGGAAAGUGGAGGAAAGUGCUUGAACUUCUCUGUUUUAUUGAUCUUCGAUUUAGUCCAAUCUAGCGAUGUAAUCGUGGUUAAAUAACCUUACUAAGAAACGGAAUGCUUGCCUAUUAUACGCAUGAAUUUUUCGUGGACAAAUUAUAACGGAGAAGAAGAAAGGAAUUGCAAUCGAAACGAGGGAAAAUUUUUAUCAUCCCGCAUGAACCGGAUCCAUCCUCUUCUACGUCAAACUAAAAGGACCAGGAACAGUUUGAGAUCAAUAUUAUUAUCAGUUUGUUUCCGGUUCGACUUAAAUCUCGAUUCCAAACGAGUUGCAAGUUUUUCAAAUUCAUUCGAUGGACAGACCAUCGAAAACGAUUAACGAUUCCUCGCAUUCUUUCGCGUUCUCUCUCUCUCUCUCUUCGAUAAUAAUCUCGCGAGGUGGAGAUAAAAUCGCGAGCGGAAAAGAAACGGGAUGAAAAGAGGGGGCGAAAGGGGGGAGGGAGGAGAGGAGGACAGCGUUUCAUUCCACGCGAGGCGCGCGGAGACCGACAAUGCGAACGGGAAGGCGCAAAUCACCCCCGAUUCGUUUUAACGAUCGGACGAAUGGAGAAUGCGAUGUUACACUUGGCGAUCGUUAAAACUUAACGAAACCUUCACCUCGGGCUCCGUGAAAUGGGCCAGUGUGAUGGAAAUCAAGAAGAGCACGGGGUAUAAUUGCAUUCUCUUAAGUCGUGCCAUCGGAUCGGACAACUAUUCCGGUGAAUUUCGCAAGAGGUAGAGAUUGGAUUAAUAAUAAUUGACGAUUGAUCGAUUACGGAACGUAACGAAAAAUUGAAAAGAUAUCUCGUAAAGUUUUCGUUUUCGCUUGGAGAUUAAUUUUUGGAGAUAAAAUAGGGGAGGGGGAGAGGAGUAAGUGUAGAGGCAUUGUGAGAGCCUCCGCUCGUUCUUUUCAUCCCCUUUCGUUACCCAGCGCGGCUCCACGACACGAAUCGUAUUAUCCCUUGACUUCCCUUCAAUGAAAUAAACAUGAGAUCCUGAGUUGUUAAAUUGGCUCGCUUCGUCUCGUAAACUUUCGUUCGUAUGUUUGUCUAAUUGCCAAUCGAAUAGGAGAAAGUAAAUAGGGGAUGGGAUAAAUGGGAUGGGAAAGCGACUUCUUGCUCUAAAGCGUUCUCGCUCAAACUUUCGCGUGUGCAAGCCUCCUUUCGUUUUUUCCCCCUGCCAACACAAGUUCUCGUUCUGUUUAACAACGAGGGAACCGAGGAGAACACCGUUUCAUAAAGUAGUUGAAAUACACCGAUUUACUCGUAUCCAGGGACCUAAUGAAAGAAGGAAAGGACGCAGCAUCCACCCCCCUCGAGCCCCGAAACGUUGCAAACUCCGUUCCAUUUUCAUUUCGGUAGUCGCACAGCGUUCCGGACAAUUAAGGGAGCGGCAUGGAUGUAAAGUUUCCGCGACUGUAAAUUGAAUACAUCAGCUGGGUACUCUACUGGCGCAGUUGGAAGUCGAAACUUUGAAGGAGCCGGCAACGUGAUACCACCACCGUUGUUCCGUCAUUACGAAACGAGCGCCUGGAAUAUGCAAUAAAUUGGACAUAGUUUAGAUGCGAGUUGGAAAAUAAUCGUGGCGAACCUGUUCGACGGGCUCUGUGUUCCGGCGGGCAACCAGAUUCGUGGAUCGAGGGAGAAACACGGCGAGAGAGAGCGGUUGCGCUACCACGAUCCCGUGGAAUUAAGCCUUCGGGUGUCGAGACUUGAUGCGAGGAGUUGAUGCACCACGAAGAGAUGGAAGAUUUUUAUCGCCUUGGCUGUGAGCGGUGGAGAAUUGCAGUGGCGAUGGUUGGCGGUGUUCUGUAUCGAGGAGGGAGGGUGUGACGAUGGAGGAGAAGAAGAGUAUUCGGAGAGUAUACGGUCUUUUUUUUAUUUUUAUUUUUUUUUUCAAAUUAAAGCUUGGCCUUGGUUAUCCGUUUAUUCCGUACGAUAAGAUUAAUCAUAGCCACGAACAGAUCUCGUAUCUUUAUUAAUGAUACGUUGUUGUUUUCAGCGUAUGCAACUUGAUAUUAUUCGAUAUAUUUUUCAUCCUUCUUUUGAUCGAUGAAAAUGUUUCAAGGGGAAAAACAAAUUUUCAUCCUAUUGUAUGCACAACCAUAUUGAACGCGUAAAUUCGGGAUAAUUAAACUACGGAUAUUUAUGUAUUUAUGGAAAAAUGUAAAAAUGUAACGAUGCACGAAAUGCAUACGAUACGCGAAAAAUACACGCAUCCAGUUGUAUAAAAUAAUUGUUAAUAUCUGAUGGAUGAAAUAAAUAUUUAAUUAGGCUUUA